UGGGCGGAUAACAAUUAUGGAAUUACUGCCCAGUGACAAUGUUCUCAGCCGCGGUAUCCUAACCCCGUGAGGGGUCACAUAACAUUUCUCUAUUUGUGGCGCUAUAAUGAACGGGUCAACGAAAUAAAUACUGUCUUUAUUAAUUUACUAAAUAUUAUUUUCUAUAUGAAAAAAAAAUGAUUACUUCCGAUGACAACAAGACCCCCUUCAGCUUUUUUUUUACCUUCAAAAUUAAAUAGUUAAAAAUUCUUUUGGGGCGACAGCAGGGCAAAACACCCCUUAUAAUAUACAGAUAUUAUACUCUAAACAGAUGCCCUAAUAAACCCCCAAAUCCAGGCUCCUUUAGGGUUAGGG
rnacentral:rRNA from 1 species